rnacentral:rRNA from 1 species
CACGUAGGGUGCGAGCGUUGUCCGGAAUUAUUGGGCGUAAAGAGCUCGUAGGCGGUGUGUCGCGUCGGCCGUGAAAACCUGCAGCUUAACUGUGGGCUUGCGGUCGAUACGGGCAUCACUGGAGGUUCGGCAGGGGAGACUGGAAUUCCUGGUGUAGCGGUGAAAUGCGCAGAUAGUCAGGAGGGAACACCCGGUGGCCGAAGGCGGGU